AUUGAACGCUGGCGGCAGGCCUAACACAUGCAAGUCGAACGAGUGGCGGACGGGUGAGUAAUGUCUGGGAAACUGCCUGAUGGAGGGGGAUAACUACUGGAAACGGUAGCUAAUACCGCAUACUAUCAGAUGUGCCCAUAUGGGAUUAGCUUGUAGGUGGGGUAAAGGCUCACCAAGGCGACGAUCCCUAGCUGGUCUGAGAGGAUGACCAGCCACACUGGAACGGAGACACGGCCCAGACUCCUACGGGAGGCAGCAGUGGGGAAUAUUGCACAAUGGGCGCAAGCCUGAUGCAGCCAUGCCGCGUGUAUGAAGAAGGCCUUAGGGUUGUAAAGUACUUUCAGCGGGGAGGCGUUACCCGCAGAAGAAGCACCGGCUAACUCCGUGCCAGCAGCCGCGGUAAUUC
rnacentral:rRNA from 1 species